UGCUGGAGGUAUCAGAAGUGCGAAUGCUGACAUAAGUAACGAUAAAGCGGGUGAAAAGCCCGCUCGCCGGAAGACCAAGGGUUCCUGUCCAACGUUAAUCGGGGCAGGGUGAGUCGACCCCUAAGGCGAGGCCGAAAGGCGUAGUCGAUGGGAAACAGGUUAAUAUUCCUGUACUUGGUGUUACUGCGAAGGGGGGACGGAGAAGGCUAUGUUAGCCGGGCGACGGUUGUCCCGGUUUAAGCAUGUAGGCUGAUUGUCCAGGCAAAUCCGGAUAAUCAAGGCUGAGGUGUGAUGACGAGGCACUACGGUGCUGAAGUAACAAAUGCCCUGCUUCCAGGAAAAGCCUCUAAGCAUCAGGUAACAUUAAAUCGUACCCCAAACCGACACAGGUGGUCAGGUAGAGAAUACCAAGGCGCUUGAGAGAACUCGGGUGAAGGAACUAGGCAAAAUGGUGCCGUAACUUCGGGAGAAGGCACGCUGGUGUGUAGGUGAAG
rnacentral:rRNA from 1 species